CACUCCUACGGGAGGCAGCAGUGGGGAAUAUUGGACAAUGGGCGCAAGCCUGAUCCAGCCAUGCCGCGUGAGUGAUGAAGGCCCUAGGGUUGUAAAGCUCUUUCACCGGUGAAGAUAAUGACGGUAACCGGAGAAGAAGCCCCGGCUAACUUCGUGCCAGCAGCCGCGGUAAUACGAAGGGGGCUAGCGUUGUUCGGAUUUACUGGGCGUAAAGCGCACGUAGGCGGACUAUUAAGUCAGGGGUGAAAUCCCGGGGCUCAACCCCGGAACUGCCUUUGAUACUGGUAGUCUUGAGUUCGAGAGAGGUGAGUGGAAUUCCGAGUGUAGAGGUGAAAUUCGUAGAUAUUCGGAGGAACACCAGUGGCGAAGGCGGCUCACUGGCUCGAUACUGACGCUGAGGUGCGAAAGCGUGGGGAGCAAACAGGAUUAGAAACCCCAGUAGUCC
rnacentral:rRNA from 1 species